rnacentral:rRNA from 1 species
UGGGGAAUAUUGCGCAAUGGGCGAAAGCCUGACGCAGCGACGCCGCGUGAGGGAUGAAGGUUUUCGGAUCGUAAACCUCUGUCAGAAGGGAAGAAACCGCACUGUGCUAAUCAGCAGUGCCUUGACGGUACCUUCAAAGGAAGCACCGGCUAACUCCGUGCCAGCAGCCGCGGUAAUACGGAGGGUGCAAGCGUUAAUCGGAAUUACUGGGCGUAAAGCGCACGUAGGCUGCUUUGUAAGUCAGGGGUGAAAUCCCACGGCUCAACCGUGGAACUGCCUUUGAUACUGCUUAGCUUGAAUCCGGGAGAGGGUGGCGGGAUUCCAGGUGUAGGAGUGAAAUCCGUAGAUAUCUGGAGGAACAUCAGUGGCGAAGGCGGCCACCUGGACCGGUAUUGACGCUGAGGUGCGAAAGCGUGGGGAGCAAACAGG